GAUGAACGCUAGCGGCAGGCCUAACACAUGCAAGUCGAACGGUAACAGGUCUUCGGACGCUGACGAGUGGCGCACGGGUGCGUAACGCGUAUGCAACCUACCUCUAUCAGGGAGAUAGCCCGAAGAAAUUCGGAUUAAUAUCCCAUAGUAUUGUUUAUUGGCAUCUAUAAACAAUUAAAGCUUCGGCGGAUAGAGAUGGGCAUGCGUCCUAUUAGUUUGUUGGUGAGGUAACGGCUCACCAAGA
rnacentral:rRNA from 1 species